rnacentral:rRNA from 1 species
UACGAAGGGGGCUAGCGUUGCUCGGAAUCACUGGGCGUAAAGGGUGCGUAGGCGGGUUUCUAAGUCAGAGGUGAAAGCCUGGAGCUCAACUCCAGAACUGCCUUUGAUACUGGAAGUCUUGAGUUCGGGAGAGGUGAGUGGAACUGCGAGUGUAGAGGUGAAAUUCGUAGAUAUUCGCAAGAACACCAGUGGCGAAGGCGGCUCACUGGCCCGAUACUGACGCUGAGACGCGAAAGCGUGGGGAGCGAACAGG